CUUGUUUAAAUGUCUUGCAGACGGCGAAACAGUUCCUCCAUUUUGCCUGGGUGAUCAUACGACUUAUCAUAAAGGCUCAGCUUCUGUGCAGCCUGUUCUCGUACGUCGGGUUCUUGAACCGUAGGGACGAAGCGACGAGGAGGGACAUGGCCAGGCAAGCGGGAGGCGGGGGUGGCGCCACAAGCGUGAUGAGCGUGAUGGAGUGACGUCCGCAGCCCGCGUGGCCAUCAACGUCGACCACCAGACGCCUGCACAAUCCAGGCCUUCGAAACCAGUUUGGCGCCAGUGUUGUCUUCUUCACCCUUUUGUGUUGUCUCCUUCGUGUGCCGACCUUAGUUAGCGCGGACGCUUUUUUUUUUCAUUUUCGCAACAUCACGACGCUACCCAACGCGCCCACAUCCAGUCAGGGGUAUUGCCCUCACAUAAAUGUGCUUGAAUGUAUCCCGA